rnacentral:rRNA from 1 species
AGAGUUUGAUCCUGGCUCAGAGCGAACGUUGGCGGGAUGUUUUAAGCAUGCAAGUCGAGCGGCAGCAUAGGCUUCGGCCUGAUGGCGAGCGGCGAACUGGUGAGGAACACGUAGGUUAUCUGCCCGGCAGACUGGGAUAGCCACUGGAAACAGUGAUUAAUACCGGAUAUUGUAACUUGUUAUGAAAGGUGCGUUUGCACCACUGCCGGAUGAGCCUGCGUCCUAUUAGCCUGUUGGUGGGGUAACGGCCUACCAAAGCUACGAUAGGUAGCCGGCCUGAGAGGGUGUACGGCCACAUUGGGACUGAGAUACGGCCCAGACUCCUACGGGAGGCAGCAGCUAAGAAUAUUCCGCAAUGGACGAAAGUCUGACGGAGCAAUCCCGCGUGAGUGAUGAAGGCCUUCGGGUUGUAAAGCUCUUUCGGCAGGGAAGAACAAGGCAUAUAGGAAAUGAUAUGCUGAUGACGGUACCUGCAGAAGAAGCACCGACUAAUUACGUGCCAGCAGCCGCGGUAAUACGUAAGGUGCAAACGUUGCUCGGAAUCACUGGGCGUAAAGGGUGCGCAGGCGGCCGAUUAAGUUAGUGGUGAAAUCUUGAGGCUUAACCUCAAGCGGCCCAUUAAAACUGGUUGGCUAGAGUUGUAAUAGAGGCAGCAGGAAUUCCUAGUGUAGGAGUGAAAUCUGUAGAUAUUAGGAGGAACACCAAUGGCGAAGGCAAGCUGCUGGGUAACGACUGACGCUAAUGCACGAAAGCCAGGGGAGCGAAUGGGAUUAGAGACCCCAGUAGUCCUGGCCGUAAACUAUGUAUACUAGUUUUAUGGUCUUUUAUUAGACUAUAUAACAAAGCUAACGCGUUAAGUAUACCGCCUGGGGAGUAUGCACGCAAGUGUGAAACUCAAAGGAAUUGACGGGGGCUCGCACAAGCGGUGGAGCAUGUGGUUUAAUUCGAUGAUAAGCGAAAAACCUUACCUGGGCUUGAACGUGUAGUGAAAGCGGAUGAAAGUCAGUUUCCCUUCGGGGCACUAUGCGAGGUGCUGCAUGGCUGUCGUCGGCUCGUGUUGUGAAAUGUUGGGUUAAGUCCCGCAACGAGCGCAACCCUUGUCCUAUGUUGCUAAGCACAUUCGGGUGCAGGACUCUUAGGAGACUGCCGAGGUUAACUCGGAGGAAGGCGGGGAUGACGUCAAGUCCUCAUGGCCUUUAUGUCCAGGGCUACACACGUGCUACAAUGGAGCGUACAAAGGGUCGCAAGACUGCAAGGUCAAGCUAAUCCCAAGAAACGCUUCUCAGUUCGGAUCGCAGUCUGCAACUCGACUGCGUGAAGCUGGAAUCGCUAGUAAUCACAGAUCAGCAUGCUGUGGUGAAUACGUUCUCGAGCCUUGUACACACCGCCCGUCACACCACCCGAGUUGAAUUUACCUGAAGUCGUUGUACCAACCGCAAGGAGGAAGAUGCCGAGGGUGAGUUUAGUAAGGAGGGUGAAGUCG